rnacentral:rRNA from 1 species
GGGGAGGCCAACACAUGCAAGUCGAACGGGAUUGAGAGCUUGCUCUCAUGAGAGUGGCGCACGGGUGAGUAACGCGUAUGCAACCUACCUAUAACUGAGGGAUAGCCCAUAGAAAUGUGGAUUAAUACCUCAUAGUUCUUUUGUUCCGCAUGGGAUGAAAGAUAAAGCUCCGGCGGUUAUAGAUGGGCAUGCGUGACAUUAGUUUGUUGGUGAGGUAACGGCUCACCAAGACUACGAUGUCUAGGGGUUCUGAGAGGAUGAUCCCCCACACUGGUACUGAGACACGGACCAGACUCCUACGGGAGGCAGCAGUGAGGAAUAUGGGUCAAUGGGCGCAAGCCUGAACCAGCCAUCCCGCGUGCAGGAUGAAGGCCCUAUGGGUCGUAAACUGCUUUUAUACACCAAGAAAAACACCCACGUGUGGGUGCCCGACGGUAGUGUAUGAAUAAGCAUCGGCUAACUCCGUGCCAGCAGCCGCGGUAAUACGGAGGAUGCAAGCG